UACAGAGGGUGCUAGCGUUGUUCGGAUUCAUUGGGCGUAAAGGGCGCGUAGGCUGCGGGGCAAGUCGGGUGUGAAAUCUCAGAGCUCAACUCUGAAACUGCACUCGAUACUGCUUUGCUUGAGGACUGGAGAGGAGAUUGGAAUUCACGGUGUAGCAGUGAAAUGCGUAGAUAUCGCGAGGAAGACCAGUGGCGAAGGCGGAUCUCUGGACAGUUCCUGACGCUGAGGCGCGAAGGCCAGGGGAGCAAACGGG
rnacentral:rRNA from 1 species